rnacentral:rRNA from 1 species
CAAAAACAUCGCCUUUUGAAUUAUAUAAAAGGUAACGCCUGCCCAGUGACAUCAUGUUCAACGGCCGCGGUAUUCUGACCGUGCGAAGGUAGCGUAAUCACUUGUCUUUUAAAUAAAGACUAGUAUGAAUGGCACCACGAGGAUUUAGCUGUCUCCUUAAACUCAUCAGUGAAACUGAUCUCCCCGUGCAAAAGCAGGGAUAAACACAUAAGACGAGAAGACCCUAUGGAGCUUAAAACAUUAAGCUGCCUAUGAUUUCUGCUUAAUAAACAGCAAUAUAACAAUAGGCCCAGCCUACGUUUUCAGUUGGGGUGACUAUGGAGAAAAACCUAUCCUCCAUGAAGAAACAAGCCUUGAGUUCCCGCUCUACGCAUUAACAAGCCUAACUUUACUUGAUCCAAUUUUUUUUGAUCAACGGACCAAGUUACCCUAGGGAUAACAGCGCAAUCCAUUUCAAGAGUCCUUAUCGACAAAUGGGUUUACGACCUCGAUGUUGGAUUAGGACACCCUAGUGGUGCAGCCGCUACUAACGGUUCGUUUGUUCAACGAUUAAAGUCCUACGUGA